rnacentral:rRNA from 1 species
CCUACGGGGGGCUGCAGUGGGGAAUUUUGGACAAUGGGGGCAACCCUGAUCCAGCCAUGCCGCGUGCGGGAAGAAGGCCUUCGGGUUGUAAACCGCUUUCGGCCGGAACGAAAUCGCCGGGGAGAACAUCCCCGGUGGAUGACGGUACCGGAAGAAGAAGCACCGGCUAACUACGUGCCAGCAGCCGCGGUAAUACGUAGGGUGCGUACGUUAAUCAGAGUUAGUGGGCGUGGAGCGUGCGGACGCGGUUGAAAUCCCCGGGCUUAACCUGGGAACUGCGUUUGUGACUGGCGGGCUGGAGUGCGGAAGAGGGAGGUGGAAUUCCACGUGUAGCAGUGAAAUGCGUAGAGAUGAGGAGGAACACCGAUGGCGAAGGCAGCCUCCUGGUCUAGCACUGACGCUCAUGCACGAAAGCGUGGGGAGCAAACAGGAUUAGAUACCCCGGUAGUC